rnacentral:rRNA from 1 species
AACGAACGCUGGCGGCAUGCCUAACACAUGCAAGUCGAACGGUGCCUUCGGGCACAGUGGCGCACGGGUGAGUAACACGUGGGAACCUGCCUUUCGGUUCGGAAUAAUGUCUGGAAACGGACGCUAACACCGGAUACGUCCUUCGGGAGAAAGUUUACGCCGAGAGAGGGGCCCGCGUCCGAUUAGGUAGUUGGUGGGGUAAUGGCCUACCAAGCCGACGAUCGGUAGCUGGUCUGAGAGGAUGAUCAGCCACACUGGGACUGAGACACGGCCCAGACUCCUACGGGAGGCAGCAGUGGGGAAUAUUGGACAAUGGGCGCAAGCCUGAUCCAGCAAUGCCGCGUGAGUGAUGAAGGCCUUAGGGUUGUAAAGCUCUUUCGCACGUGACGAUGAUGACGGUAACGUGAGAAGAAGCCCCGGCUAACUUCGUGCCAGCAGCCGCGGUAAUAC